rnacentral:lncRNA from 10 species
AGCUGCGCACCGAGGCGCACCUCCGCGCACCCUCAGGAGGCGGGUCCAGCUCGGUGGCGAGGGGAGCGCGGCCCCCGAGUGGGCGAGGCGCUGGCGGCUGUAGGCUCCGAUACCGCGGAGCACACUCCCCUCCAUCGAGACCGUGCCCCCGCGGGGUCUGUGUCCCCGGGAGGAGUUGGCUGCGUUUGGAGAUCCCUCGGCCUGGUAUUCGUCGCGUCUCCCUGCUUGUUGCUCUCCACGUUUAGCCCCAUCCGACUUCUGGAAGCCCAGGGAGAGCACCAGAUUCUCAAAACAAUGCAGACUUUGGAGCCACAUGUGGGUUUGAAUCUCAACUCUACCUGAGUGACCCUGGGCAAGUCACUUCACUUCCCUGAGACUCAAGUUUCAUCAAGAUGGGAACAAUGAGCAUCUGCCUCACAGGCUUGUCGUGAGGAUUAAGUGAGAAGGUGCAGCUGCAAAGACAUCAAGCUGGACCCAUCGAGGAUUUCGGAUUCAGCCAUCAUGGGGCUGCUGCCGGGGAAGCCACUGCCCCUCCUUUCUCCUCAGCACUGGGGUUAUAAAAAAAUACCUACAAACCA